rnacentral:rRNA from 1 species
UGAUUGUUCUGCCAACUUGGAUGUGCCCCGGGGGGCUACUGAGAGCUCUUUCUAGAUUCUAUGGGUGGUGGUGCAUGACCAUUCUUAGCUGCUAAAGCGAUUUGUCUGAUUAAUUUCGUUAAUGAAUGAGACCUCAGUCUGCUAACUAGCUAUGCCAAGGUACCCCUUCGUGGCCAGCUUCUUAGAGGGACUACGGCUUUUUAGGCCAUGGAAGUUUGAGGCAAUAACAGGUCUGUGAUGCCCUUAGAUGUUCUGGGCCACAAGCACACUACAUUGAUGUAUUCAAUGAGUUUAUAGCCUUGGCCGACAGGUCCAGGUAAUCUUUGAAAUUUCAUCUUGAUGGGGAUAGAUCAUUGUAAUUGUUGGUCUUCAACGAGGA